ensembl:lncRNA
AAGCAGCAGGCGCACCACGCAAACGGAGGGCGCCCUUACUCCCAGCAAAUGGGCGAUAGAAAACCGAUCGAUGCCUGUGCCAUUCCCAAUAUGCGCUGGCUGCCGUAGGGGCAGCAUGAGUACGAGCGUUUUUUUUCUUUUUUUGCCGAUGCCCGUGAUGCCGCCCCCCAUCACGAUGCCGCCCCGGGCAACCGCCCGUGUCGCCCGUAUCUAAAACCGCUACUGGUGGCAUCACUGUAGUUGUCAGAAGAAACCAGUUAAAGGCUGCCUUCCUAAGUACCUCCAGUGAACUAGUGCAGCCCUACAUGGAAGUACCAGGCAUUAGACACAUGCUUGACGCGUUACAGAAACAUUUCGAAUGCUGUGGAAUAGGGAGUGUUGAGGACUGGGGCAACAAAAUCCCAAAUUCCUGUGAAUGCACAUCAGAUGCAACUAAUUGCAAACACAGACCUCAGGGAAAAGGAGGUCCAGAGAAAAUCUAUGCAAAGGCUUGUGGGGAGCGUGUUUUUGGGUUCUUGGACUACAUCUUCAGGAUGAUUAUAAACUUCUUCUUUGCAUUUGUUGUUACAGCACUGCUGGCCCUGCUCAUGACCAUCUGCAUGAUCCGUCAGGUCAAAUGUAACAAUGCUGAUGAAUCCAUUGCCAUGGAAGACAAAUGAAAGGAACUACCACACAUGCAGGUCCUCUUACCUUUAACCAUUUCACUAGGUUUGAGCAUAAAAAGAGGACUCGGUGGUCGGGAUGUGACCUCUUUUUAUUCACUUGAAAAAAAAAACGUUAUUUGUGCCUUGAGCGAAAGAGAAGCAGGAGACAAAUGUUGAGGUUGAGGUUGUGGUGUGAUGCAGGAUUACAACACGUAGAGUUUUUCUCCCAGCUGUACAAAGCAUAGCUUAAAAAGCAAAAUGUUUUUUUGUGUGUGUUAUUUGAUACUAUGCUGUAUUCUGGUCCUCUUAUAUGGGGCAUAUUGUAGAAAAGAAGCAGCUUUGUUUGUCUUAGGAGUGUGGAGUAGUUGAAAAUAAAUGAAAACUACUAAAGUUCAUUCAAGAACCACUCAGUUGGCUGGUUUUAAGAACUUCAAAUACUGAUCAUAACGUAAUCUGUUUAAUAUAAAAUGCUUAUUGGCCCAAAAUGAUGAAUAAGAAUAAGAGUAACAAAAUAUCAUGGUGAUUCUAAAAAAAAAAGCCUAACUAAGAGACUGGGUAGAGAAUGGAGUAAAUUGUGAUUGGCUGGUUUAAAAGGGAUUAUGCCUAAACCAAUGUUCUUCUUCAGAAGGGGCUAAAGGCAAAUCUAACUGAGGUAAAAUAGCAAAAAAGGAAAAUGUGAAACAAAAUAACCUUAGUAACCUUACUUAAAAGUGAGUGAAAGAUUGAUGAUAGAGAGGAUGAUAGGGAGUGGCUAUAUAUCAGUGGAUUUUAUGCAAACACAGUGAUUGGACAUCUAAGGUUAGGAGAUGGAGACGAGUGGACACAUGACAGAGCAUAAAUCGGAAAACCUGUAGAUGUUCUGGGUUUCUUCCUGGCAGUUCUUCAGGAUGAACAGUCCAGAAGAUCAGAUCUCAGAAGUCCAUCAUUGGAAAUUCCAGCAGAGAGACGUUAAGAGGGAUCAAACCACCACUCAAAUUAACACAAAGCAAUGGGAGAAGAUACAUCUUCAGGCAUGGAUUUGCCCGUUCCUCCUCUAACCUCCCUCCUCCUAAAGAUGAGAACAAAAUCAUUGUUAGCUCAGAGCAGGCUAAUUAGACACACAUGAUUCAGGUGAAAUGACGAUUAUUAUUUUGGUAAUUAUUAAUCAUAAUUUUUCCUUUGCUUUGCUCUUAACCAAAUUGCUUUAAUAAAACUUCCUUCCA